rnacentral:misc_RNA from 1 species
AUAUGCACGGUUUGCACUAGUG